GGACGAACGCUGGCGGCGUGCCUAAUACAAUGCAAGUCGAACGGUCUUUCUAUGGAAGCUUGCUUCCACUGAGAAGAUAGUGGCGAACGGGUGAGUAACACGUGGGUAACCUGCCCAUAAGAGGGGGAUAACAUCCGGAAACGGGUGCUAAUACCGCAUAGUUUUCUUGAUCGCAUGAUUGAGAAAGGAAAGACGGCCUUUGUGCUGUCGCUUAUGGAUGGACCCGCGGCGUAUUAGUUAGUUGGUGAGGUAACGGCUCACCAAGACGAUGAUACGUAGCCGACCUGAGAGGGUGAUCGGCCACAUUGGGACUGAGACACGGCCCAAACUCCUACGGGAGGCAGCAGUAGGAAAUCUUCCGCAAUGGACGAAAGUCUGACGGAGCAACGCCGCGUGAGUGAAGAAAAGGUUUUCGGAUCGUAAAACUCUGUUGUCAGAGAAGAACAAGUUGGAGAGUAACUGCUCCAGCCUUGACGGUAUCUGACCAGAAAGCCACGGCUAACUACGUGCCAGCAGCCGC
rnacentral:rRNA from 1 species